rnacentral:rRNA from 1 species
GACGAACGCUGGCGGCGUGCUUAACACAUGCAAGUCGAACGGAAAGGCCCUGCUUUUGUGGGGUGCUCGAGUGGCGAACGGGUGAGUAACACGUGAGUAACCUGCCCUUGACUUUGGGAUAACUUCAGGAAACUGGGGCUAAUACCGGAUAGGAGCACCUGCUGCAUGGUGGGGGUUGGAAAGUUUCGGCGGUUGGGGAUGGACUCGCGGCUUAUCAGCUUGUUGGUGGGGUAGUGGCUUACCAAGGCUUUGACGGGUAGCCGGCCUGAGAGGGUGACCGGCGACAUUGGUACUGAGAGACGGCCCAGACUCCUACGGGAGGCAGCAGUGGGGAAUAUUGCACAAUGGGGGGAAGCCUGAUGCAGCAACGCCGCGUGCGGGAUGACGGCCUUCGGGUUGUAAACCGCUUUCGCCUGUGACGAACCGUGAGUGACGGUAAUGGGUAAAGAAGCACCGGCUAACUACGUG